GACGAACGCUGGCGGCGUGCUUAACACAUGCAAGUCGAACGGGAAGGCCCUGCUUUUGUGGGGUGCUCGAGUGGCGAACGGGUGAGGAACACGGGGGUAACCUGGCCUUGACUUUGGGAUAAAUUCAGGAAACUGGGGGUAAUAACGGAUAGGAGCUCCUGCUGCAUGGUGGGGGGUGGAAAGUUUCGGCGGGUGGGGAUGGACUCGCGGCUUAUCAGCUUGUUGGGGGGGUAGUGGCUUACCAAGGCUUUGACGGGUAGCCGGCCUGAGAGGGUGACCGGCCACAUUGGGACUGAGCUACGGCCCAGCCUCCUACGGGAGGCAGCAGUGGGGAAUAUUGCACAAUGCGCUGAAGCCUGCCGCAGCAACGCCGCGUGCGGGAUGACGGCCUUCGGGUUGUAAACCGCUUUCGCCUGUGACGAAGCGUGAGUGACGGUACUUGGUAAAGAAGCACCGGCUAACUACGUG
rnacentral:rRNA from 1 species